UCUUCCGCAAUGGACGAAAGUCUGACGGAGCAACGCCGCGUUAGUGAUUAAGGUUUUCUGAUCGUAAAACUCCGUUGAUAGGGAAGAACAAGUACCGUUCGAAUAGGGCGGUACAUUGACGGUACCUAACCAGAAAGCCACGGCUAACUACAUGCCAGCAGCCGCGGUAAUACGUAGGUGGCAAGCGUUGUCCGGAAUUAUUGGGCGUAAAGCGCGCGUAGGCGGUUUCUUAAGUCUGAUGUGAAAGCCCCCGGCUCAACCGGGGAGGGUCAUUGGAAACUGGGGAACUUGAGUGCAGAAGAGGAGAGUGGAAUUCCACGUGUAGCGGUGAAAUGCGUAGAGAUGUGGAGGAACACCAGUGGCGAAGGCGACUCUCUGGUCUGUAACUGACGCUGAGGCGCGAAAGCGUGGGGAGCGAACAG
rnacentral:rRNA from 1 species